rnacentral:tRNA from 2 species
GGGGUUCUGGCCGAGUGGUUAAGGCGCUGUGUUUAGGCCAGGUGCUAAUCCGCAGUGGGAAACCGCGCAGGUUCGAAUCCUGCGGACCUCA